UGUUAGUUUUUAUGGAUUCUCGGUAGAAAAGCAGUUUCGAAAAAAAUUUUCAGAAUAAACUUAUUUGGUUUUAGUUUUUAGAUAUUUGAGUAACCCUAAAUCUACACAGAGAGGACUUUUUACUUAAACUGAUCGAAGGUACAACUUUGGCACGACUGUUAAGAAGUGGUUCACGUUGGUUCAAAUGAUGACUUAUACAUAGAAUCGAAUCGGGAGAUCUACAAGACGAAUUUGUACAUAAGCGAGGAAUACAACGGUAAUACGGCCCAGUAGAAGACGAGUCAAGAAGCGAGUCGAGCUAAGUAGCAACAGUUCUAUCAGCCGCAACAACAUCGGCAUCUAGAGGAUAUUUGUGUGAAUAGCCGAGGCUACGGAUCGAGCCCUGUACUGAGUCAUAACAGCAGCAACAACA